CUACCCCGGGGCCGCCGGCAGGAGCCACGGCUGGGACGUGCCGACAGACCGGCACUGCUUGCACGUCUUCAGUAGAUGGAGACGGUGCCCGUGACUAGGCUGCAGGGCUCCAGUGUCAAAGGGCUUUGAAAAGUGUAAAUUACUAUAUUUUUACUACAUAGCUUUGUGUUUUGUGAAAAAUGAGGUACACAUUUUUUUUUUAAGUAGAAUUUAAAAGUCUAAUAGAAAGACAAGUAGGAGGUAAAGUAAAAUAUACAGAUGUGGCCAGGUGUCUCUGCGUUCAGCUAAGAGAGCACACUUUGUUAACAAAGGAUUGUCCCUUAAAAGCAGAACCCUACUAUAUAGUCAUAAAUUCUCAUACAGAAUUCAGACAUUCUUCCUAACUUUGAGGUGUUCUUUUGUUUAGUUUUUAACUUCCCCUCUUCUCAAGAGAUCAAUCUCUUGGUGCCACUGGGUUUUACCCUCUCCUAUAACGGGUGCAAUAAAUUCCUCUCUUGGAGGGUUUGGAGGACUGCUGUCUUCAUCUGGACAAGUUAUUUGAUACAGUGAAUUACGGCAGAAUUAGCCCACGGCAGAAUUACAAGACUACAGAGGCUGGCUAUGGAUGACAAUCGUGCGUCUGGCCUGCUGCACAGCACAUCCACACAGGAGCUAAGGGAUCAUCCUUGCACAGCCCAUCCUGGAAGAAGAGAGUUCACUGAUGAAUCCGACACCGUUUUAUGGCAUGGCAGCAGAAUAAAGGCUAGAAUUGGUCCUGUUCCAAGCCCUUUACAUUUUGCUGUGUGUAAUGGAGACAGGAACUACGAGUUUCCUAUUCAUGCACAAUUUGCUGUCUGAGAGCACACAUGUUGCCACCUGUUAGUUUAUCUUCAUUAAGUAUGUUUGUUCACCUUCGUUGAGUUUAGAGUUGGUUUGUCCCAGUUACUCCCCCACUAUCCCGAUAUAGUUUGUUCCCAGUUGCCUGUCAUUGUAAACCUCUCCCCUCUUUCCAGAUUGUUCCCCAUCCAUCACUUUGGUCCUACCCCCAAGCCCUAUCAAUCUAUGUACACCACACCUUUUGUUCUGGUUCCUUCCCUGCUCAUCAUCCCUUACUCGAUGCCCUAUUGGUUGUAUAGCUAUCCUCCCUCCCCCAAGUCCCUACCAUUGGAUUUGUGUAUUGUAACCCCUUCCCACAACACCUCCCCUGCUGCAAUAUUAUUGGUUGUUGUAUGAGCCGCCCACAGGCUUUAAAACCUGGAGCACAGAGGUGCCCAGGGUCUCGGCUCGGACUUUCUUCUCGAGGUCCCAGCCCUGUCCCUCAUCGCCUUCUCCCUGCACCUGCUGGAAUAAACUUGUUCCUGGGAAAUUGGA